rnacentral:rRNA from 1 species
AUUGAACGCUGGCGGUAGGCCUAACACAUGCAAGUCGAGCGGAGCGGCGGACGGGCGAGUAAUUCCUAGGAAUCUGCCUGGUAGUGGGGGAUAAAGUCCGGAUACGGGCGCUAAUACCGCAUACUAUCAGAUAAGUCUAGGUGGGAUUUGCUAGUUGGUGGGGAAAAGGCAUACCAAGGCGACGAUCCGUAACUGGUCAGAGCGGAUGAUCAGUCACACUGGAACUGGGACACGGUCCGGACUCCUACGGGAGGCAGCAGUGGGGAAUAUUGGACAAUGGGCGAAAGCCUGAUCCAGCCAUGCCGCGUGUGUGAAGAAGGUCUUCGGAUUGUAAAGCACUUUAAGUUGGGAGGCGUUACCAACAGAAUAAGCACAGGCUAACUUCGUGCCAGCAGCCGCGGUAAUAC